rnacentral:misc_RNA from 1 species
UUGACUAACGUUGUAUAUAGUAACCUCACUGAACGACUCGUUUCACUCGUUGUUAUUAAAAAAGGGGUAACCGACCGCAAACUCAAUUGCGACGGAAUGCACGUAGGGUGUAAAGAGUAGAGAAAAGACGCCGAGAACACUAACGCUCUCCGGUCCUUAACAUCUUGUAAUGAUCCUUCCGCAGGUUCACCUACGGAAA